AGAAAUAAACCCUUGUUGUUUUAAGCCAUUCUGUUUUGGGGAUGUUUGUUACUACAACAUAACCAAACUAAAAUACCUCACCUGUGGAUAAUGAGUGGUAGCAUGUCAGGUUGUAGAUGAUGUACCUGGCAAGCAUGUCAGAAUUCUGAGCUGCCACUGGAUGAGAAACUUCCAUGUCAGAGAAUCCUUUCUCCUUCCUACAUGGAGAGGUGCCCUAGGGUGAAAUGCUUCAGUGGAGAUUCUACUUCGAUUAUGAAGUUGCAAAGUCUGUCCUUCGGUCUGCCAACUUUUCCUUCUUACUAUCUGUCAAAUCCUGAUUUAUUCAGAAAAAAGUGCCAGCUCAAAUGUAAGACUUAAAACUAAUAAAGAGGUUCCGGGAUUAGUUCAUCAACCCAGAGCAAAGUAUAUCACAAUUGGAAAGUUAAA
rnacentral:sRNA from 1 species